GCCAGGGUGCAGCUCAGUGGGUAGAGUGCUUGCCUAACACGUAGGAGGCCCUGGGUUCGAUUCCCAGCACAGGUA
rnacentral:tRNA from 1 species